rnacentral:rRNA from 1 species
UACGGAGGGUGCAAGCGUUAUCCGGAUUUACUGGGUUUAAAGGGUGCGUAGGUGGUCCGUUAAGUUCGUUGUGAAAGCCCUGGGCUCAACCCAGGAACUGCUUCGAAUACUGGCGGACUUGAGGCUAGUAGAGGUCACUGGAACUGACGGCGGAGCGGUGAAAUGCGUAGAUAUCGUCAGGAACGCCAAUGGUGAAGACAGGUGACUGGGCUAGUUCUGACACUGAGGCACGAAAGCGUGGGGAUCAAACGGG